GACGAACCGUACGAACGUUAUUCGGAAUCACUGGGCGUAAAGGGUGCGUAGGCGGUCGGGUAAGUCUGAUGUGAAAUCUCACAGCUUAACUGUGAAACUGCAUUGGAUACUAUCCGGCUCGAGGAAUGGAGGGGAGACUGGAAUACUUGGUGUAGCAGUGAAAUGCGUAGAUAUCAAGUGGAACACCAGUGGCGAAGGCGAGUCUCUGGACAUUUCCUGACGCUGAGGCACGAAAGCCAGGGGAGCAAACGGG
rnacentral:rRNA from 1 species